rnacentral:rRNA from 1 species
GACGAACGCUGGCGGCGUGCUUAACACAUGCAAGUCGAACGGUGAAGGGAUCAGCUUGCUGGUUCUGGAUGAGUGGCGAACGGGUGAGUAACACGUGAGUAACCUGCCCCCUUCUUCUGGAUAACCGCAUGAAAGUGUGGCUAAUACGGGAUAUUCUGCGCCUGCUGCAUGGUGGGUGUGGGAAAGAUAUUGUUUCGGUGGGGGAUGGGCUCGCGGCCUAUCAGCUUGUUGGUGGGGUGAUGGCCUACCAAGGCGGUGACGGGUAGCCGGCCUGAGAGGGUGGACGGUCACACUGGGACUGAGACACGGCCCAGACUCCUACGGGAGGCAGCAGUGGGGAAUAGUGCACAAGGGGCGCAAGCCUGAUGCAGCGACGCCGCGUGAGGGAUGGAGGCCUUCGGGUUGUGAACCUCUUUCGCCAGUGAAGCAGGCCUGUCCCUUGUGGGUGGGUUGACGGUAGCUGGAUAAGAAGCGCCGGCUAACUACGUG